UUAUACUGCCAGCAUAAUAUUGGUAUAAAAGACACAUAGACCAAUGGAAAAGAAUAGAAAACCCAGAAAAAAUUCACUUAUUUACAGCCAACUGAUUUUUGACAAAGGUGCCAAGAACAUAAACUGGGGAAAGGACACUCUUCAAUAAAUGGUGCUGGGAAAAUUGGAUAUCCAUAUGGCAAAAGAAUGAAACUGCACCCCUAUUCUUACCAUAUACAAAAAUCAACUUGAAGAAUAAAGACUUAAAUGUAAGACCCCAAACUAUAAAACCACUAAAAACACAGAAGAAACAGUCCAGGACAUUGGUCUAGGCAAACAUUUUACGGCUAAGACCUCAAAAGCACAGAUAACAACCAAAAUAAACAAAUGAGACUAUAUUAAACUACAAAGCUUCUACACAACAAAUCAACAGAGUAAAGAAACAACAGGGAAUAUGAGAAAAUAUUAAUAUCUGCAAACUAUUCAUCCAAAAAGGGACUAAUAUCCAGAAUAUACAAGGAACUCAAAUAACAGUAAAAAAAAAAAAAUCCCAUUAUAAAGUAGACAAAAGACAUGAAUAGACAUUUCUCAAAAGAUGACAUACAAAUCGCCAACAGGUAUAUGAAAAAAUGCUCAACAUCAUUAAUCAACAGGGAAAUGCAAAUCAAAACCACAAUGAGACAUCAUCUUAUUCCAGUUAGAAUAGUUAUUAAAAAAAUAAAAGCAUGCUGGAAAGGAUUAGGAGAAAAGUGAACUUUUAUAUACUGUUGACGGGAAUGUAAAUUAAUGCAGCCAUUAUGGAAAAAAGUAUGGAGACUCCUCAAAAUAUUUUUUAAAAACUAUAUGAUCCAGAAAUGCCACUUCUAGGUAUAUAUGCAAAGGAAAUCAAAUCAGUACAUUGAAGAGAUAUCUGUACUCCCCUGUUCACUGUGGCAUUAUUAACAAUAGCCAAGAUACAAAAUCAUCUAAGUGUCCAUCAAUAGAUUAAUGGAUAAACAAAAUGUAGUAUAUGUGAAUCCAGUGUGUAUACAUACCCACACAAAAUGGAAUAUUCCACCUUAAGAAAAUCCAGUCAUUUUUGACAACAUGUAUGGAACUGGAUGUUACUAUGUUAAAUGAAAUAAGCCAGGCACAGAAAAACAAAUAUCGCAUGUUCUCACUCGUGUGGGAUCAAAAAAGUUGAUGUCAUGGAGGUAGACAGUAGAAUGAUAGACACCAAAGGCUGGGAAGGGUGGCAGGGUUUGGGGAGAGAAAGAGAGGUUGGUUAACGGGUAGUAACAUACAAUUAGAUAGAAGGAAUAAGUUCUAAUGUUCUAUAGCAGAGUAGGGUGACUACAGUUAACAACUAUGUCGUGUAUAUUUCAAAACAGCUAGAAGAGAGGACUUAAAAUGUUCCCAACACAGAAAUGAUAAAUACUUGAGGUGGACAUCCCAAAUACUUGAUCAUCACACAGUCUAUGCAUAUAACAAAAUAUCACAUGUACCCUGUAUAUAUGUACAAAUAUUAUGUAUCAAUAAAAUUUUUACAAAGACUUCCAGAAUAUUAGCUACAUACUAGCUUGGUAGGACUAUAAUAAUGAGUAUGGCAGUUUUAAUGGUGAACCAAAAAAUUGUUUAUUUUUUUCUGUAUAUUACAUAAUAGAGUCAAGUAUUAGGAAUGGUUAAUUUAUAAACAUGAUGCUAAUUUCCUGAUUUUUUAAUAUCCUGUAAAACAAUGUCUUGUUUUUAAAUUUCAGGCAGCAAUUCGUAAAGAAUUAAAUGAGUACAAAAGUAAUGAAAUGGAGGUACAUGCAUCAAGCAAGCACUUGACAAGAUUCCACAGGCCAUAGAGAUUUUCUUCUGAGAAGAAUUUGUGUUUAAUUUUUUGAUACCAACACUGAACAUUCAUCAGGGAACUUUCCUGAAGUUCAGCUCAAGACUACCUGCUGUGUUUGUGAGAAGAGCAGGAUCACACACACAGGUGCAAUCUUGACCACACUUACCUGCAAGAGGAGUAACCAGAGGACACACUUCCUUCCUUCCUUUGGUGUCUGAGGAGUGUGAACUGUUGGGGUCAGUUAAGACCCAACAUAACUCUAUCAGAAGAAAACUGUUGUUUGCCUUUCAACCUUGUUUUACAGUUCUGCAGUGUAAUGGAGGACGGGCAACGUGCAUGUGCAGGCUCACCACUCCCAGGCCUCUGACAUGAGGGACAUGUGACAGUGUCAUUCAGUAUUAUGUUCAAAAGACAUUUUUAUCCUGAUCAUAAUUAAUUUGAAAACCUUUAAGUUCAUGUUAUACAAAAUGAUUUACUGUAUUAUACUUUUCCUUUUUUAUAUAAUGUCUAACAAAAAAUACAGCUGCAACAUUUUGAUUCCUGUUAAUUUUGUUCUUUAAUUAAAUGACUACUUAUUGCAGGAAAUUAA
rnacentral:sRNA from 1 species